rnacentral:rRNA from 1 species
UACGUAGGGUGCAAGCGUUGUCCGGAAUUAUUGGGCGUAAAGAGCUCGUAGGCGGUUUGUCGCGUCUGCUGUGAAAACUCAGGGCUUAACCCUGAGCCUGCAGUGGGUACGGGCAGACUAGAGUGUGGUAGGGGAGAUCGGAAUUCCUGGUGUAGCGGUGGAAUGCGCAGAUAUCAGGAGGAACACCGGUGGCGAAGGCGGCCAUCUGGAUGGUAACUGACGCUGAGACGCGAAAGCGUGGGUAGCAAACAGG